rnacentral:rRNA from 1 species
AGUGAACGCUGGCGGCAGGCCUAACACAUGCAAGUCGAGCGGCAGCGCGGGGCAACCUGGCGGCGAGCGGCGGACGGGUGAGGAAUGCAUCGGAAUCUACCCUGUCGUGGGGGAUAACGUAGGGAAACUUACGCUAAUACCGCAUACGACCGAGAGGUGAAAGUGGGGGACCGCAAGGCCUCACGCGAUUGGAUGAGCAGAUGCCGGAUUAGCUAGUUGGUGGGGUAAAGGCCCACCAAGGCGACGAUCCGUAGCUGGUCUGAGAGGAUGAUCAGCCACACUGGGACUGAGACACGGCCCAGACUCCUACGGGAGGCAGCAGUGGGGAAUAUUGGACAAUGGGCGCAAGCUUGAUCCAGCCAUGCCGCGUGUGUGAAGAAGGCCUUCGGGUUGUAAAGCACUUUUGUUCGGGAAGAAAUCGUGCGGAUUAAUACUUCGUACGGAUGACGGUACCGAAAGAAUAAGCACCGGCUAACUUCGUGCCAGCAGCCGCGGUAAUACGAAGGGUGCAAGCGUUACUCGGAAUUCACUGGGCGUAAAGCGUGCGUAGGCGGUUGGUUAAGUCUGCUGUGAAAGCCCUGGGCUCAACCUGGGAACUGCAGUGGAUACUGGCUAGCUAGAGUGUGAUAGAGGAUGGUGGAAUUCCCCGGUGUAGCGGUGAAAUGCGUAGAGAUCGGGAGGAACACCAGUGGCGAAGGCGGCCAUCUGGAUCAACACUGACGCUGAGGCACGAAAAGCGUGGGGGAGCAAACAGGAUUAGAUACCCUGGUAG